GUCCUACGGGGCGCAGCAGUGAGGAAUAUUGGUCAAUGGGAGAGAUCCUGAACCAGCCAAGCCGCGUGAGGGAAGACGGCCCUAUGGGUUGUAAACUUCUUUUGUCAAGGGACAAAAUCAGGCUCGAGAGCCUGACCGAGGGUACUUGAAGAAAAAGCAUCGGCUAACUCCGUGCCAGCAGCCGCGGUAAUACGGAGGAUGCGAGCGUUAUCCGGAUUUAUUGGGUUUAAAGGGUGCGUAGGCGGACUGUUAAGUCAGCGGUAAAAGCCCGGGGCUCAACCCCGGCGAGCCGUUGAAACUGGCUG
rnacentral:rRNA from 1 species